UACGGGGGGAGCAAGCGUUGUUCGGAUUUACUGGGCGUAAAGGGCGCGUAGGCGGCCAGCACAAGUCAGUUGUGAAAUCUCCGAGCUUAACUCGGAAAGGUCAACUGAUACUGUGCGGCUAGAGUGCAGAAGGGGCAACUGGAAUUCUUGGUGUAGCGGUGAAAUGCGUAGAUAUCAAGAGGAACACCUGCGGCGAAGGCGGGUUGCUGGGCUGACACUGACGCUGAGGCGCGAAAGCAUGGGGAGCGAACAGG
rnacentral:rRNA from 1 species